AUUUUUUAGCUCCGUUCAGAGGUACAAAUUAAAGUAUCAUCUACAAGACUUUAGAGGUCAAGGUUGUGAUCCUAGUAAUCAAAAUGAGUUAUUCAACUUGCGUCAUGCAUCUUUGAGAAAUGUGAUCGAGAGAAUUUUUGGUAUCUUCAAAUCUCUCUUUUUGAUUUUCAAAUCAGCACCGCCUUUUCCUUUUAAGUGACAACGACGAAGAAAACAAUGAGAGCCACGAAGAAAACAAUUAUGAGGAAAAUGGAGAUACGGGACCUCUCCAAUCUCAACAAAGGGAAUAUGCUAAUAAUUGGAGAGACACAAGCUGCUAGUAUGUGGGCAGAAGCUACAGGAACAUGGAGCAUACCAUGAAGAUCAUGAAGUUUUUAUUUUCAAAUAUUUUUCUCUUCUUUGCCUGUGUUGGAUUAAGGGGUGACAAAGAUCUUGGUUUGUUUGGUUUCAUUGUUUGUGACGAAGCUUGCUAUCUUUGAGCAAACUUUUGAUUUUCUUUUUAUAAUAAGUUUUUAUUUACCAGAGAGUUGUACUAAUUUGGUUCUUCGAUUUUGCGGUUUUGAGUCUUGAUAGUCUUGUUUUUGCUUCAUCUUCUUCCUUUGAUAUCUUCUGAUUCAGACCUCGGUUUGGAGAUCUAAAAGUUGUUCUGAAAUCUUGAGAUCAAGAUAUUUCCAACCGUAUAAAGAUGAGCUUCUGAUUCCUUGUGAGUCGACUUGAGAAAAAGUUUGAAGUUGGGGCACUUCAGCUUCGUCGCUCUGUUCUUAGGUCUUGGUAGAUUGGUCAUAACUUUCAGACCGUGACAGCAAAUGACGUUCCGCUUUUUCCUAUAGCUUCGUAUAUCUCUCUACUAUUUUUCAACAAAGUUUCAUAUUUUUCUGGGUUGUUUUGAUAACCCUUUCAGUCUUUGAACCAGAACACGUCUGUUCUGUUAUCCUUCUUCUUC